GGAGUAGCCCUGCUGAAUGACCAUAUUUAUGUGGUGGGGGGAUUUGACGGUACAGCCCACCUUUCUUCUGUUGAAGCAUACAACAUUCGCACCGAUUCUUGGACAACUGUCACUAGUAUGACCACUCCACGAUGCUACGUAGGGGCCACAGUGCUUCGGGGGCGGCUCUGUGCAAUUGCAGGAUAUGAUGGGAACUCCCUGCUGAGUAGCAUUGAAUGCUAUGACCCUAUCAUUGACAGCUGGGAAGUAGUGACUUCCAUGGGAACCCAGCGCUGUGAUGCUGGUGUGUGUGUUCUCCGAGAGAAGUGACCAUUGUUGGAGCACCGUCCAGAGCUAGUGACCAGUCCAAAGGACAGUUUGUGGGAGAAUCAAGGAUCCUUUCCAGAAUACCUGUUUCUCACUGUGUGCAUAGGGUGAUUACAGGCACCAGUGCAGUGAUGAUUGUACUUAUAUGCCCCGUACUCCCCCUCACAUUGGUAGUUAUUUCUGAGAAAGGUGGGUAACAGACACUCAAGGGAAAAAUAUGCACAUUGAAUGGACGUGAGAGACCAGAUUACCUCUCUCUCUGGUCUGGGGAGCACUUUCUUGUCAUAUGUAACUUACCUUGUGCUUAGGAGAAUAUAUAUGUAUGUUGUGCCUCAUAUAUUGCAGAGAACUAAGGUAAGUAUGGCCUACUAGAUGUGGGCAGUAUCCAGCCUAGAUGAUUGGAAGGAUACCAACUUAAGUAAGCUCGGUAAAAUCCAAGUCUUUUUUUCAGGAACAAAUAUUUUUUCUAAUCUACAGGUAGCUAGGGGCAACACAGUUUCAUUCUGGAGGAAAACAAAAGAGAAAUCCCUAUCAAAACUUUGGGGACCAGGGAGAGAGACUCAUCUUACACUCCCUUAGGAGGACAGGGUUAGUAUAUCAGACCUGAGGUUAGAGUAAGUGAAGUAAACAAUCUGAGGCAAUGUGAGUGAAAUUAGAACACCACUGAACUUAUAACCUGGAAGAUCGAGAAGGCUGUAUUAUUUGAAGGUUGUUUUUUUCCCCAAGGUCUUUCUAAAGUAGAGUGUUGUGCAUCCGUGCAGUAGAGACUGGGAGAAUAACAAGAGUUAACAAAUCUUGGGAUGAGAGGCAAUAGCAUAAAUGUGAGAAUUCAACAUACCUGGGGAUGAACUAGAAGUACCUGUGAUUUUACAAUUGUCUUAUUUCCUGCCAAGGUUCAUCUAGCCCUGGCAGUGUUUGCCUUGAAUGGUGAGAGACUGUCUUUUUUUUGUUGAAUCCAAUACUACUACACCAUUACACUUCCACACUAUUUAUUAGGGGAUGGGGUGGGGAUGGCAGCAGCCCAGUGGUUCAGCUACCUGAUUACUGCCCAUUCUUUUAAGGGCACACUUCUGGUAAGGAGUGAUUUUUACUGCUGUGUUUGGUACAUUUAGUCCUUUUCCUGCUAUAAGUUUCCCUUACAUGUCCAUAGAAUGGAUUUUAUUCAUUCCAGGACAGAAUAAUCAAGGACAACAAAAAUUCCUUUGUUAGUUCUAGUACCUCUGCUAUCACCAUUUCUGAGCUACCAUUCAAGGCACCUGUGUAUCAUGGAGUGAAAUUCUUGCUUUAUAAGUAUUGAGAGUGUGGGAAUGCCAUAACCUAAACAAGGGUGUACUUUCCCUUUGCUCUGAAAUUCCAUUUUUUCCUCUUUCCCUGAGUUGUAUUGACCUACAGAGUUAAUUUCCUUUGUAUUUUUUUAAGAAAAUAUUAAAAAUUAACUGUCUC